UACAGAGACCUCAAGCGUUAUCCGGAAUCAUUGGGCGUAAAGCGUACCGAUAGGUGGUUUGGUUAGUCUUGGGUGAAAUCUCGAAGCUCAACUUCGAGUUUGCUCAAGAUACUGCCAGACUAGAGGGGCAAAGAGGAGAUUGGAACAAACGGUGUAGUAGUGAAAUGCGUUGAUAUCGUUUGGAACACCGAAAGCGAAGGCAGAUCUCUGGGUGCCACCUGACACUGCUAGGACGAAAGCGUGGGGAGCGAAUGGG
rnacentral:rRNA from 1 species